rnacentral:ncRNA from 1 species
CAUAAUGCUAUGAAAAGAAGAGUAAUAAAGUUAAGUGUUUUAAAGAGAGCUAGAUUAGGUGAAAGCUAGUAGCAUAAAGCUUUAUGAAUAUGGCCUUGGAGCAGACCUUUUGAGCAAAAGUGAGGAAGGUACGGGAGCAACCGAUAUAUUGCAGGGUGAUAAAAGCUUUUUGCCAGUCACUUAAUGAGGUACUUAUUGUGAAAUAAGUAUAAAAUAGAGUGGUAACACGUAUAUAACGUCUCUAUA